CUUUCCAACGGGUACGGAACUGGAGCGGCCGCGCCUGCCCGCCUCCGUUCGGCGUGCGUGCCUCGGCAAGAAGUGAAGCUCAAGAUGAGUUUGUUGCUGGCUUUGGGAAUCCUUAGUCUGGACUCUGCCAUGCCUUGCAAGCAGAAAGAUGCCACGUGAAUUCUGGAACUACAGAAGCUCUGUGACAUCAGAUGACCACCUCCACUGUCUUCCAGCCUUGUGCCAGCAGGAGAGUCCACCCACUUGUAGAAGUGUGGGUGUUUAAGGAGUUUGAAAACAACAGCCUGGAAUGUGGAGUUCUAAUGUACUUGGAAAUGCUUCCAUUGUCCUUCCUGCUCAUCAGAAAUCCUGCUUGGUUCCAUAGUACGGCGGGGAGUAGCUGUUCACUGAAAAUGAAUAAUCUUGGAACGAAAUUCAGGAUAGAGUGUCACUCUGGAAAGAGAAGUGGCCUUCUGGGCAGUCUGAGAACUUAGUAUCAAUUUUUGAGUGUAUCAAAUAAAUGGAUCAAAAGUGAAUAAGGCAAAGAUUAAAAUGUGGGAAAAUUUGUGCCGUCUAAAUAAGUGUUUACAGUGUUAGUAGUGGGUAUGAAUAAAAUCUUGGAUUUCUGUUUUCA